rnacentral:rRNA from 1 species
UACGUAGGGUGCGAGCGUUGUCCGGAAUUAUUGGGCGUAAAGGGCUCGUAGGCGGUUUGUCGCGUCGGGAGUGAAAACCGGGUGCUUAACACCUGGCUUGCUUUCGAUACGGGCAGACUAGAGGUAUUCAGGGGAGAACGGAAUUCCUGGUGUAGCGGUGAAAUGCGCAGAUAUCAGGAGGAACACCGGCGGCGAAGGCGGUUCUCUGGGACGGUACUGACGCUGAGACGCGAAAGCGUGGGGAGCGAACAGG